rnacentral:rRNA from 1 species
UGGGGAAUCUUGGACAAUGGGCGCAAGCCUGAUCCAGCCAUGCCGCGUGGAUGAUGAAGGCCUUAGGGUUGUAAAAUCCUUUCGUUGGGGACGAUAAUGACGGUACCCAAAGAAGAAGCUCCGGCUAACUUCGUGCCAGCAGCCGCGGUAAUACGAAGGGGGCUAGCGUUGUUCGGAUUUACUGGGCGUAAAGCGCGUGUAGGCGGACUUGUAAGUUGGGGGUGAAAUCCCGAGGCUCAACCUCGGAACUGCCUCCAAAACUACAAAUCUGGACCUAAGUAGAGGCAAGUGGAAUUGCGAGUGUAGAGGUGAAAUUCGUAGAUAUUCGCAGGAACACCAGUGGCGAAGGCGACUUGCUGGACUUAUGGUGACGCUGAGACGCGAAAGCGUGGGGAGCAAACAGGAUUAGAUACCCAUGUAGUCCCUGAGCGGGCUGGCAAGGCGCAU